rnacentral:lncRNA from 1 species
CUGGCAUUGUUUUCUUUAAUCAUUUUUAACAAGCAUUUUAUGUCUUUUUAAUGGCAUUUAAAAAUCACAUCAACAUGGAACAUCACUGCUCACAUCUUUCUGGGAUAUAAACUUAUUUCAUAUCUGUACUUUGUUAAGAUUUUAAACUAAUUUUUCCAAUUGCCCAUAUAAACAUCGUUACACCUCUGUCAGAACACAAAACCUGCACAUUUUAAUUUUGUAUAAUGUUCAUAAAUUCAUCACUUAUGUAGUUCAUCAGAGCAAUAUCAGAACAAUAUCAAACUCGAAUACAUUUCAGCAACUUAAAUUGUAAUUUCAAGUUAAAAUUUUUUACUUGCCUUUGUUAACUACUCCAAAGGGAAGCUUAGUCUACACUACAGCUAGAAUUUAAAAUAUCCCUGC